rnacentral:rRNA from 1 species
AUACGUAGGUGGCAAGCGUUGUCCGGAAUUAUUGGGCGUAAAGGGCGUGUAGGCGGGAUAAUAAGUCUGUUGUAAAAGUGCGGGGCUCAACCCCGUAAGGUCAAUGGAAACUGUUAUUCUUGAGUGCAGGAGAGGAAAGUGGAAUUCCCAGUGUAGCGGUGAAAUGCGUAGAUAUUGGGAGGAACACCAGUGGCGAAGGCGACUUUCUGGACUGUGUCUGACGCUGAGGCGCGAAAGCCAGGGGAGCGAACGGGAUUAGAUACCCCGGUAGUCCUGGCCGUAAACGAUGGGUACUAGGUGUAGGAGGUAUCGACCCCUUCUGUGCCGGAGUUAACGCAAUAAGUACCCCGCCUGGGGAGUACGGCCGCAAGGUUGA